rnacentral:rRNA from 1 species
GACGAACGCUGGCGGCGUGCUUAACACAUGCAAGUCGAACGGAAAGGCCCUGCUUUUGUGGGGUGCUCGAGUGGCGAACGGGUGAGUAACACGUGAGUAACCUGCCCUUGACUUUGGGAUAACUUCAGGAAACUGGGGCUAAUACCGGUUAGGAGCUCCUGCUGCAUGGUGGGGGUUGGAAAGUUUCGGCGGUUGGGGAUGGACUCGCGGCUUAUCAGCUUGUUGGUGGGGUAGUGGCUUACCAAGGCUUUGACGGGUAGCCGGCCUGAGAGGGUGACCGGCCACAUUGGGACUGAGAUACGGCCCAGACUCCUACGGGAGGCAGCAGUGGGGAAUAUUGCACAAUGGGCGGAAGCCUGAUGCAGCAACGCCGCGUGCGGGAUGACGGCCUUCGGGCUGUAAACCGCUUUCGCCUGUGACGAAGCGUGAGUGACGGUAAUGGGUAAAGAAGCACCGGCUAACUACGUG